rnacentral:rRNA from 1 species
UGCGAAUGCUGACAUGAGUAACGAUAAUGUGGGUGAAAAGCCCACACGCCGGAAGUCCCAGGUUUCCUGCACGACGUUAAUCGGAGCAGGGUGAGUCGGCCCCUAAGGCGAGGCUGAAGAGCGUAGUCGAUGGGAACCAGGUUAAUAUUCCUGGACUUUUUAUAAGUGGUGAAGUGGGGACGAAGAAGGCUAGGUGAGCCAGGCGUUGGUUGUCCUGGUACUUGCAUGUAGGGGGGAAGACUUGGCAAAUCCGGUUUUCCGAUACUCUGAGGUGCGAAGUGGUUCUGACCUUUUGGUACAGAGAAGUCAUUGAUGCCCGGCUUCCAGGAAAAGCUGCUAGCCAUAACUUAUAGAGAACCGUACCGCAAACCGACACAGGUGGACAGGUAGAGAAUACUAAGGCGCUUGAGAGAACUCGGGUGAAGGAACUAGGCAAAAUGGUACCGUAACUUCGGGAGAAGGUACGCCCUUUCUGGUGAUGGGAUUUACUUUCAGAGCUGGAGAGGGCCGCAGAGACCAGGUGGCUGCGACUGUUUAUUAAAAACACAGCACUCUGCAAAUUCGUAAGAAGACGUAUAGGGUGUGACGCCUGCCCGGUGCCGGAAGGUUAAUUGAUGGGGUUAUCUUCGGAGAAGCUCUUGAUCGAAGCCCCGGUAAACGGCGGCCGUAACUAUAACGGUCCUAAGGUAGCGAAAUUCCUUGUCGGGUAAGUUCCGACCUGCACGAAUGGCGUAACGAUGGCCACACUGUCUCCACCCGAGACUCAGUGAAAUUGAAAUCGCUGUGAAGAUGCAGUGUACCCGCGGCUAGACGGAAAGACCCCGUGAACCUUUACUAUAGUUUUGCACUGGACUUUGAUGAUGACUGUGUAGGAUAGGUGGGAGGCUGUGAAGUGAGGACGCUAGUUCUCAUGGAGCCGCCCUUGAAAUACCACCCUGUUGUUAUUGAGGUUCUAACUUGGUCCAGUAAUCCUGGAUGAGGACAGUGUAUGAUGGGUAGUUUGACUGGGGCGGUCUCCUCCCAAAGAGUAACGGAGGAGCACAAAGGUACCCUCGGUACGGUCGGACAUCGUACCAAGAGUGUAAAGGCAAAAGGGUGCUUGACUGCGAGAGUGACGGCUCGAGCAGGAACGAAAGUUGGUCUUAGUGAUCCGGUGGUUCUGAAUGGAAGGGCCAUCGCUCAACGGAUAAAAGGUACUCCGGGGAUAACAGGCUGAUACCGCCCAAGAGUUCAUAUCGACGGCGGUGUUUGGCACCUCGAUGUCGGCUCAUCACAUCCUGGGGCUGAAGCAGGUCCCAAGGGUAUGGCUGUUCGCCAUUUAAAGUGGUACGCGAGCUGGGUUUAGAACGUCGUGAGACAGUUCGGUCCCUAUCUGCCGUGGGCGUAGGAAAAUUGAGAGGAGCUGCUCCUAGUACGAGAGGACCGGAGUGGACGAACCUCUGGUGCACCGGUUGUCACGCCAGUGGCAUGGCCGGGUAGCUAAGUUCGGACGGGAUAACCGCUGAAAGCAUCUAAGCGGGAAGCCUCCCUCAAGAUGAGUUUUCCCAUGAAGCCCGUUGAAGACUACGACGUUGAUAGGCAAGGUGUGGAAGCGCAGUAAUGCGUGAAGCUAACUUGUACUAAUUGGCUGAUUGUCUUGACCAUAUAAUCUGAG